GCCCGUGUGGACCAUGGAGGUCGCCCUGCAUUCAUUACUCCUUCACAAAGUCCUUUGAAUCGGGGAAGUGAAGGUUCGAGUCCUUCCACGGACG